CAUAUUAUAUUAAAAUCGAAAUUUAUUUUAUACGUAUCCGACGCAAUAUUCGAGAUUUGUUCCAUAUAUUUGCAAACAAAAAAAAAUGUAUUUUAAAUUUCAUUGAACCAGUUAGAGAUUUGAAAUGCAAAAAUAACCACAUCGUGAAAUCGGGGUUACGAUAAUGUUGUUAUACGCUUACACGUGUUAACUUUUUAUUUUCGGAGCGUAGCGAGUGAUCUGUUGGUAUUACUAAGAUGUGUGUUUUUUUUUUGCCUGUAAAUAACUUUUCAUUCAGAAAUCUUUCUCCGAUGUAUAGAGUGUAUCGUAUCUUUUUCUGAAAGGUAAUUUUGUCUUAUUGGUUUAUUAAAGAAGUCAUUUUUCGAUUUUCCAAGGCAUUUUCAUAAUAAUUGGAAAUAACCGGAAAAAAGCGGAAAAAUGUAAAAAUGUAUUAUUUUCAAU